rnacentral:rRNA from 1 species
GAUGAACGCUAGCGGCAGGCCUAACACAUGCAAGUCGAGGGGUAACUAGAGUGAUAGCAAUAUUACUUUGGCUAGACCGGCGCACGGGUGCGUAACACGUAUGCAACCUACCUUAUACUGGGGAAUAACUUCGAGAAAUCGGCGCUAAUACCCCAUAACAUUGCGAAGAGGCAUCUCUUUGCAAUUAAAGCUCCGGCGGUAUAAGAUGGGCAUGUGUCCAAUUAGCUAGUUGGUGAGGUAACGGCUCACCAAGGCUACGAUUGGUAGGGGUUCUGAGAGGAUGAUCCCCCACACUGGUACUGAGACACGGACCAGACUCCUACGGGAGGCAGCAGUGAGGAAUAUUGCGCAAUGGACGAAAGUCUGACGCAGCCAUGCCGCGUGCAGGAUGACGGCCCUAUGGGUUGUAAACUGCUUUUGUACGGGAAUAAACCCUUCUACGUGUAGGAGGCUGAAGGUACCGUAAGAAUAAGCACCGGCUAACUCCGUGCCAGCAGCCGCCGUAA